UACGUAGGGUCCGAGCGUUGUCCGGAAUUAUUGGGCGUAAAGGGCUCGUAGGCGGUUUGUCGCGUCGGGAGUGAAAACUCAGGGCUCAACCCUGAGCGUGCUUCCGAUACGGGCAGACUAGAGGUAUGCAGGGGAGAACGGAAUUCCUGGUGUAGCGGUGGAAUGCGCAGAUAUCAGGAGGAACACCGGUGGCGAAGGCGGUUCUCUGGGCAUUACCUGACGCUGAGGCGCGAAAGCGUGGGGAGCAAACAGG
rnacentral:rRNA from 1 species